GUAGGUGAACCUGCGGAAGGAUCAUUAACGAAUAAACUUGGUGGGCUGUCGCUGGCUCUCCAGGGAGCAUGUGCACGUCUGUCAUCUUUAUAUUUCCACCUGUGCACCUCUUGUAGACUUGGAGAAAACCAUUAUUCUGAGGCAACUCAGUCGUGGGGAUCGUAGGCGUAAAGUCAGCUUUCCUCGAGUAUCCAGGCCUAUGUUUUUAACAUACACCAAUGAAAUGUAACAGAAUGUCAAUAGAAUGGGUCUUUGUACCUAUAUAAAACUAUACAACUUUCAGCAACGGAUCUCUUGGCUCUC
rnacentral:misc_RNA from 1 species